rnacentral:sRNA from 1 species
CUUCUCAUGGUACUAACCUUUUCUAACCUCUCUCCUAACCUCUGUCCUGGCCCUUUCUUCCCCUGCGGCCCCUCCCAGAGCUAUAAGCGAGCAAUUGGUGAGGACUUCGUGUUGCUGAAGGAGCGGACCCUGGACGAGGCCCCUCGGCCUCCCAAGAAGGCCAUGGACUACUCAUCGUCCAGCGAGGAGGUGGAAAGCAGUGAGGAGGACGAGGAGGAAGGCGAAGGCGGGCCAGCAGAGGGGAGCAGAGACACCCCUGGGGGCCGGUACGGCAUCGGGAGUGGGGCCCUCCCACUCCAAGGCACAGGGAGGGAGGGGAAGUGGCAGUGGGGGAGAGGUGGGGCUUUGGGGCAAGUCUGAGGGAGAGCGGCUGCCUUCUCUAGAGAGUGGGGUAAGGGUGCAGGUUCCUGUCUCUGUCCCUGCCCUGUGUGUUGUGGGGUGGCCUCUUCAAGUGCCUGUCUGCCCCUGUGCCAGCCUGCCCUGGAUGCCAUGCGGGGAAGCAUCUCACGGUGGAACAGGGGCUACAUCGUGAGGGUGG